AGCUGAUGCACAUGGUGGCUUUUCCUCCCAGUUCCACCGCAUUGGCUGUUCCCCUCUGGAGGUUUUUUAACCUUCAUACCUAUAGGGCCCUGGUUAUUACCGGUGGCCCUUUUUU
rnacentral:sRNA from 1 species